GGGCUGGGGCUUAGUGGUAGCGCACUUGCCUGGUAUGUAUGAGGCACUGAGUUAGAUUCUCAGCACCACA
rnacentral:tRNA from 1 species